CCCGGUCCUCCCUGACUGUGACAGGUAGGCUCCAGUGGCAUCGGAAGCCCCUGGGAAGGAGAGGCUGCACGGCCCAUCUUGCUCAUCCCCAGAGUCUCCUGUGCCUAAGGAGUAGAAACUUCCACCCAGCUCUUCCCUUCCCGUGGCAUUUGUGGCAACCGGCUAUAGCCCAUGCCUCUGAGAACCCAUAUGGAAAGUGGAAAUGUUCACGCAAGGCAAGACAUAACAGA